rnacentral:rRNA from 1 species
CAGUGGGGAAUAUUGCGCAAUGGGCGAAAGCCUGACGCAGCAACGCCGCGUGCGGGAUGACGGCCUUCGGGUUGUAAACCGCUUUCAGCAGGGACGAAACUGACGGUACCUGCAGAAGAAGCACCGGCUAACUACGUGCCAGCAGCCGCGGUGAUACGUAGGGUGCGAGCGUUGUCCGGAAUUAUUGGGCGUAAAGAGCUCGUAGGCGGUCUGUCGCGUCGGAAGUGAAAACUCGGGGCUUAACCCCGAGCCUGCUUUCGAUACGGGCAGACUUGAGGAAUGUAGGGGAGAACGGAAUUCCUGGUGGAGCGGUGGAAUGCGCAGAUAUCAGGAGGAACACCAGUGGCGAAGGCGGUUCUCUGGACAUUAACUGACGCUGAGGAGCGAAAGCGUGGGGAGCAAACAGGCUUAGAUACCCUGGUAGUCCACGCCGUAAACGGUGGGCACUAGGUGUGGGGGACAUUCCACGUUCUCCGUGCCGUAGCUAACGCAUUAAGUGCCCCGCCUGAGGGAGUACGGCCGCAAGGCUAAAACUC